CUGCUGCCUCCCGUAGGAGUUUGGGCCGUGUCUCAGUCCCAAUGUGGCCGUCCACCCUCUCAGGCCGGCUACUGAUCGUCGCCUUGGUGGGCCGUUACCUCACCAACUAGCUAAUCAGACGCGGGUCCAUCUUACACCACCUCAGUUUUUCACACUCGACCAUGCGGUCCUGUGCGCUCAUGCGGUAUUAGCACCUAUUUCUAAGUGUUAUCCCCCUGUGUAAGGCAGGUUACCCCACGCGUUACUCACCCGUCCGCCAA
rnacentral:rRNA from 1 species